CUAAGCUUUACAUAUGGAUAGCCAACCAUGGAGAGGAAGUGUGCAGGCUUAGAGAAGGAAUAGAUUUCAUACCAGACCUCGUCGUUCUCGUCCCGCUCGAUCGAGAAGCGCUCCUCCCCAGCCUAUUCACGACAUAUGCAGCAAAAGAAAAUAACAAAUGUUUUCGUCAUGGCCAUCAGCAACAUAAGAACAUUUUUUAUCUAGUUUUUCGAAGGGAUAGCAUAUGCUUAUUGACUGUUGCUCACCCUUCCUCUAUAUAUACACAACAUAAUUCUGGAAAGACAGGCUCUUCAUCUUUUUGCAAGCAAUUUAUUUGCAUACUCUGUGAUGAUUCUAACUAGUGUUAUACUUGUCCAUCCCAAAGAAGCAGAUCUCCAUUAGUAAAGGCCAGAAGAAGUCGUUUCAUAUUGGGAACAGAUAUUAAACUAUUGGGAAUGGUAUACGAAUUAAAGGUGAACUAAGAUCUGAACAUCAGGUUAGGGUCAGAUUGUACAUUAACUUGAUUAGCAUUGCUUAUCCAUCGCCUCACGAAAAGAUUGUAUGUGGAUUUAUGAGCUGUUGCAGUGGAUUGAAGAGGUACAAUAUAAAGGGUAUGUACAAAUAGGAGAGGAAGUAAGCAAAUAGAUGGAUGAUACUGCACUCUCUCUUUCUUCUCGAUAGUAAUAUUGUGGACUUGCGUGCUGUUGCAAUGGAUCGAAGAGGUGAAAUAUAAAGGGUAUGUACAAGAGGGCAGGAAGUAAGCAAACGGAUGGAUGAUACUGCACUCUCUUUCUUCUCGAUAACAAAUAUCCAGCAUUUCAGGUACUAUGAGAAUUCCUAUGAGACACUAAAUGAGGUUUAAACACACACCACAAAUUUGUCUGACAUAAUAUUCUUAUUCUACGACUAUUACCGUAUUCUUUAUGAAAUCUGAUCAACAACACUAGUUAAGCUAGUUAGCCUGACAUUCUGUAAGUUGCUUGCUGAGUUCUCUUUAUUGUGAUCUUUCACCUAAAACUGAUAAUUGAUAAGGUUAAUGCAGAUUUUGGUUUGUUCGAUCGUAAAACCAAUUUGGAGCUAACCGAGUUCCUAUUUUGCGCUUGCCUCUGACAAACUUUGAGAGAAUGCCAAAUCCUCCUUGUCUCUUUGGGUGCUAACCCUAUAGAAUUGUGACAGGGACGCGCCCGACAAAGUCCCUCUGAUGCUUAAGUUAAUCUCAGUUAUGAGAUAUUGACAAAGAGCCGAACCCUUAAGGGGUGAAUGCACAAAAGCCUUAGAAUUUCAAUAUGUUGAGGUAUGCAUCUAAAGAGGCCUUUUAUAGUGUGGCUUUAGAAUCGUUAUGCUUGAAAACAUGUAUUGAUGUCGGAGACGAAUACAUGCUUCUCCUGGUUCUGGCGAAAUCAUGUCGCGCCAGAUCCGAGGAACAUGUAACAAUUGUGACAUGGUUUAUAAGCAUGGGGGACGACUCCAUACCAACCACACGAUGUCGAAAUGUUGGACACAUGGUGCUGCGCCAUCGACUAUGUGGCAAAGAGGUGUUGGCCACAUAAUGCCAGGGUAUCGGCUACAUGGCGAGGUGUUGGCCAUGUAACGUCAGGAUGUCGACUACGUGAUGAGGAGGUGUCGACCACCCAAUGCUAGAGUGUUGAUUAUGUGACGAGGUGUUAGCCACAUAAUGCUAGAGUAUCGGUUAUAUGGCGAUGAGGUGUCAGCCAGAUCAUCAUUCCCUAUCAUAUAGAAAUAUGAUAAAUCACAGUUCAUUUGUUUCCUAUCUCAACCAAGAAUCUUUUGGCUCAAGUGAUCCACAUAUAAUUAAUUGAAUGUAAAUCCAAACCAACGUGAACAAUGAUUACCCCUCCCUCUCCUUUCAAAAGACAAAAAAUCCUUAAAAAGGGAUAAACAUUAUUUCACUAUUCCAGUCUCCCAACUGGUGUAUACCUCAAUCCAAAAGGGCAUGAAUAUUUCAAGUGACAUGGUCAAGCUAAUGUUCCAAUAUUGAAAUAUUUUCUUAUCACAUUUAACGCAAGUGGUAAUUCAUGCUAGAAUCAAAGAUCACUAGUGCAGAAUAGUCUAGAAAGAUAUAUCGACAUUUAGAACUCAUUAAAAAAAAGUAAAUUUGACAUAAAAUAUAUUAUAAAUAGAAUUCAGUCAUAGAAAGAAAAAACUGCUUUGAGGUCAAAAUCAAACAAGAUCUCAAUCCUAAAGCUAAAAGAAUAGAAGAACAGUGAAAAUCUAGAAAAAUGACAAGCUCUUUAACAUUAACAAAGACUUAUAUAAAAUUAUCAUCUUUUGUAGUCGUUUGGCAGCACUAAACAUUCUAACUAUUCACUCAUGUGGAUUCUAUCUAUCAUCUACUUCCAGAUUUCCAUCCCUUGCUCUUUGUUUUUUCUUUCUUGUACAUGCCCAUGAGGGAUGGGUGCCUUAAUCAGUUAAUAUGAAGCAUUAAGCCACAUUUUCUUCUUUUUGAAGUGAUGCAAGAUCCAAUAUUAUGCAGUAGAGUGCCCUUUAACAUCAACCACUUUAAUAGUCUCGAUUUAUGUGCUAAUAAGAUCCAAACAAGGCCUAACAUAUAUAAUGAUGAUCACUGCUGUUAUAGGCUUAGCCAUACAACUAGUUAACCUGAAACAAAACAAGUAGACAGAUAUGUAGAAGUUCACCUAUAAAACCAAAUGAUAGAAAAUAGAAGCCAUUGAUCUAAAGCUUGAUCUUCCAGUGAUGCCAAAUCAUAUCAACUGUUCCCACUAGUCGAACAGGUCCUCUUCGAUGACAGGUAUCAAUCCCAUUGUUCACGAAAUCAAUAGUGUUGAUUCUAGUAUCCUCUCUCUCUCUCAUUCUAAAGGUUAGAGGAUGGUUUCCCACUUUAAGCUCAAACCUAUAUGAUCAUGAUGACAAACUAAACUCUGUAAUGAAUAAUAAGGAUCAUCAUUGAUCAUGCCAAUUAUCAAAUCUUGUCUAUGCCAUACAACAAUCUAAACAUGCCAGAAGCUGAAGCUACACAAAGAUGCAUGAUUUGCCUAAGACAAAGAAUGCCUCCAAAAAAUAUAACCAGCUAUUAUGAAGCUUAUUAUAAUUACUAAUACACAAAUAAUUCGAGUUCAAACAAGGUUCAAUACUGGCAUCACAAGAAUCCUUUGACUAUACUUGAAGUGAAAAGUUCUAGUGAAUUGCUUGAGCUUUACAAUCAAGAUGUCAUAGCCAAUUGAGUGCAUAGGUUUCAGGAGUUAGAGAGAUGCUUUUGCUAAUGCACAAAGUCUUCACCAGGAAACAAUUUCACCUCUCCAUCAUGAUUUAGUGAUAGCAAUUCUCAGAAAGUAAAUACUACAAAGCUCAGUAAAGGGGAAACAGAACAGAAUCAUACCAAGAGGUGGCCUUGGAGAGUGCCACUGCCGAAACCGAAGGAAGCCUUGGUCGGGCCGCGGCCAGAGAUCUCGUCACGCACGUAGGCGAUCCGGAGCGGCA
rnacentral:lncRNA from 1 species